AAAUAAUUUAAUCAUCAUCAUGGUGGUAUAUGUUUAUCCACUCAUAAAUUAUGUGCUCACACAUAAAUGUACAUAUAUUAUAGGGACUAAUUAAUUCGUUGACUGUACGGUCAUAUAUCCUGCUUAAUUUUAGAAUGUUUGGGUUUGUAAUCCAAGUGAGUAUAUAUACAUUUUAAGACCUAACCAGGAAAAGUGUUUAUCCGUGUAGUCGACGUCUAUUAAUCUCUACUUUAUCUUUGCAAGCUCAGACCCAUGCAUGCAGAAGCAAAGGUAAAGGCCAUAGUCUUUUUGGUAUUUCUUCCCGCCGUGUGAACAAGGGUAAAGCCAAAGGAGUCAUCACGAUAGAGAGUCACAGCUAGCAUAGGUUGAUGGGGUCGUGAAAACAUAAUAACUAGAUAUAAAAUAACAAAAAUAAAAGUGUUAAGAUUUCUAUUUACACGACAAUUGUAAGAGUGUGUGUUUCUAGAUAUUAAAACUUAGUGAAACAUCGUAGCAUAAAGACGUUCAAUCUUGAGAGAAUUUCUAAAAGCGUUCAAAGACGUCUGUGAAUGAGACAAGCUAAAUAACUUGGCUCAACUUCAAAAAUUAGGGUGCAGCCAAAACUAUGCAUGUGCGUGAGCGACAGAGCGAGACGCGCCACUCAUAAAUGUAGUUUCCUGGUAGUUUCGUUGAGCGCUAGCCCGCUCAGCCACGCGCAGUCUUUCUAAGCGGGCAACUUGUGGCAAGUCUAGUUUUGUGAAUGUAUAUUUGAGUAUGGUAUAGUAUACCAUUCAUAUCCCACCUAUUCUUCUUUGCCAUGGUUGUACAUAUAAAUGUAUAGAUUAAAUAAUAAUAGUACAGAACUGGCAAGAAUUGCAGCCAAAAUUAUGUGCGUGACUAAGCGAGGUACACCCACGCAUAAAUGUAGUUUCCUUGAAAACUCUCUUGUACUCACAGGCACUCUUUCUAUUCUCCAAUAUACAUCUUACGCAACUUGUGGCAAGUUUUAGUUUUGUGUAUGUAUAUUUGAGGAUGGUAUAGUAUACCAUGCAUAUACCACCUAUCUUUCUUUGCCAGAUUAUGUAGAGUAUGGUGUUCGUCAGUAAUAAAGUCGCAGAAUAGCCAAUAGGGAUGCAUGUAUAUAAAGGCUCUUUGAAACGAGGCCAACAUGUUGGUUCAAUAGCAUUCAACCGAUUGUUGGAUGCAACAUGUCGGCCUGAUUGACUUUGUUUAAAAUUUUCAUCCAACGUUGUGCAACAUCAUCCAACAUUAUUGAAUCAACAGUAUUAGACAAUUUUAGACUCGUUUGAACGGCAUAAUGAUGGACUUUGUUUCCAAGUCAACCGUCAAAAUUGAGUAUUGCAAAUUCGUUCCUUAUAUCCUCAGCUGAACAGUGUUUCCUGAGCGGCCGAGGGCUGAGAAUCACAGCCGGCAACAGGGUACAACUUUCUUUGAUAUUGAAGAUAUUCCAGUAUUUGUAAAAUAA